UACGGGGGGGAGCAAGCGUUGUUCGGAUUUACUGGGCGUAAAGGGCUCGUAGGCGGUUUGUCGCGUCGGGAGUGAAAACCUCGGGCUUAACUCGGGGCUUGCUUUCGAUACGGGCAGACUAGAGGUAUGCAGGGGAGAACGGAAUUCCUGGUGUAGCGGUGAAAUGCGCAGAUAUCAGGAGGAACACCGGUGGCGAAGGCGGUUCUCUGGGCAUGAUCUGACGCUGAGGAGCGAAAGUGUGGGGAGCGAACAGG
rnacentral:rRNA from 1 species